GCACAAGCAAAUCAAAUCCAUCACAGAUCUAGAAGUGAAUAGCCCAUCCUGGGCCAGCAUCUCUACAGAAAGUCCCUGUCACAAGACCUUAUUGACUAAAAUGCAGCAGCAGAAGGGCAUCUGUUUGUGGAGGGAAAACUAGAAUAUUCCCUUUUGAGUUCCGCUUCCUCCUUUCGAUCCACCUACCAUCAGACACUUCCUGGGCAUCUCUCUAGCAGGGAGAGUGUAGCAGCUGCCUUUUUUUUUUUGCAAGGCGGGCUCCUUCGCUAAUCAGUGGAAGGUUGGGGGAAGGGGAUGUUAUCUCAGUGACAAAUCCAGCCCUGCAAGUCUGGAAGGCGUUUGUGCCUGGGGAGUUUAAAAGUGAACUGCAAAGAAAAAAAUUAUGACCCUGCCAUCACUCCUGUGUUACCAUCCACGAAUGCAGAGGUGGAUCCUGCGCUUGCGGAUGAGAAUGCUAGUCCAGGUGUUUCCAAACUUCCCGGGGCAGAUGUCGGGAAUAUAAAGAGCACCGCAGUGCGAGGACAAGCAACAUGUCCAUCACCACAUAAUCUAAGUCCUGAAGUGGAGUGUUUAUUUUCACACAGAAAAGUCACAGUUAAGUGGAGUUUCGCUAUAACAGGAGAGAGCCUACCUGGUUAUUGCUUCCGUCUUCUCAGCCCAGGAACAAUGGCAAGGGCUUUCUUCACCCCUUGCAUUUUAGGGGGUCAUUAUCAGUUUUGUGUGUUGUUGCUACCAGUGGGAAGCAGCUGUGGCAAGAGUAAUCCAGUUCCUUUUAAUCCACCCUAAAAACAGAUGCACCAAGAGUGGGAGUCAGUGAAUGCCAUUUUAGCCUUUUGCCAUGGGAUAUUGUCCACUUCUCUUAACCCUCCUCUAUCACCUAGGCCUGAUCCAAAUCCUAUUUAACUCCCACAGAGUAUGUCUACAUAGCACACUAAGUCCAGGCUCUGAUUCAGAUUUGAGCCUAAGCCCCCGUUCCAUCCACACACAAAAUCAGUCUGACUUGGGUCAGCAAGCGCACAGUACCCGGGUUCUAGGAUCCUGCUAUUGUGGUGGGUCAGAGCUUGAAUCUUUCUCUGACUGAAGUCCAAGCCCUGUCAUUUUGCUGUGUGGAUACAGCUCAAUCCACAAACCUGAGUCACAAGGUCUGCCUACUUCAGUAUCGAUGGGUUACCAUGGCUAUGAGACUUGUAUUCAGCAAUUGUAAACCCAGGUUUACAAUGGAGUGUGGAUGCUCAGGUCAGUGGUGCUGGAACAAUUUGUACAGUGGGGGUGCUAAGAGCCAUUGAACCAAACUGCAAACCCUGUAUAUAAUGGAAACCACUUCAAGCCAGCACCCCUAGUUCUAGCACUGAUGGCUCAUGUGUUUGGAAAUACAGAGUCCACAAGCACAGAUGUCACAGAUCUGGGCAUACAAUGCAAUACAGACAUACCUAUAGACUCCCGUGUGCUGAUCAGGCCCCUAGAGCAGGGGAGUGGGCGAUGGUAGUCUCUUUGGAAUGCAUCUAUCUGGUAGGUGGAAAAUGCUGUAUUCCAGAGGACUUCGCAGAGUGGCAUCUGAACACACUGGAGAGAAAAAUUACUAUUAAUGGAGUGACGCUUCAUUAUAAGAAGAGAGAAAGACCACAGAAAUGUACUGAUGUAAUUUAGGAUUUUCACUCUACUCCACUGGUAACAAUCUUACCUAUAUGCUGCUGCACACGGUUAACUUAAGAUGUGAUUUUAAACGGAUUUAGUUAAACCAGUGCCAAAGGCUGUGUGGAAACCCUUAUUUCAGUUGAAAUAGGGCUUGUUUCAGUUUAUCUUAAAUCAAUUAAUAACAAGUCUAAGCUACAUGAAUCUAAGUCAUUCUUAAACCAAAAUAAGAGUGUCCACAUGGGGGUUGGCACUGGUUUAAUUAACCCAGUGCAAAUUUGUGUGUAAGCAAAGCUAGAGUUUUACUAUAGCUGAGCAACAUGUCCUGCAGUAUUUUUGGAAGAACAGAGUGACGCACAGUCUCAUAUACCAAUUGUAAUACAAACAUCGUUUAUAUUAGGUGCAAGAUUCAGCCAAGUUGUGGCAACUUUGAAAAUUUGUCCCAUCAGUUCGUCUACUCCGUUCCUAACAGGGGCUAAUGCAAGACUGUACUUUAGAAUCUAUGCUCCAGGGCUCUGCCUGAUCUAGUUUUAAAUGUCUCAGGUGACAUGAUUUUCCCUACUUCCAGUGGGAGAUUAUUCCACAAAAUAAUAAGCCUCACUAUCAGUAACACCGUACCAAUACAAGAAAAUCCUUUAUCAGGCGCACUUGUUAACAGCACAUUGUCUUGUAACAUUCAAUUUGAAUGACAGGGCCUAUUGCUAACAAAAAAUAUUACUCAGUGUUUUGUAUGUGUUUUCAGUAUACUGUCAAAUCUGGGGGCUUAUGCUGACAUUUCCUCAGCUCCUCAGUUUAUUUCUUUGAUGAGAAAAACACAAGAAGAAAAAGCUUAUUGUUCCUGUUGUUGUGCGCUGAACAACUUAUAAAAAGUGUCAUAGUACUCUACAACAUUGUUCCAGACAUGACAGUGUGCAACAUCAGUUUUGCAAACACUUGUGAUUUCAUUGAGAGUCUGGUGAUAUUUCUUAAAGCCCCAGCUCCUGGAGUCAUGUGAUUACAUAAAAAUCUCAGCUUUCAUUUGGAGCUCUAGCCCUCAUGAUUGUGGAGCAAAGUUUGAAGAUGUGAUCCUAAUGCAAUUUACAGGCUCAGAAACCAAAAGUCAAAGAAAAAGAACUUCACAUUUUUUUAAUUAAUAAUUUUUAACACAACUUUAUCAUAUUUCAGGAUUUGACAAUAUUGUUACUCCAUUGUUUUGGGCCACUAAUAAAUAUUUAUACUUUGCACUUCCAUCCAUCCAAGAAUCUUAAAAGAACUUUAUAAAUAUUAAUUAAGUCUCACAACAAAUUUAUUGUUUAUACUAUAUAGCACUUUUCAUUGUGAAGGAUCCCAAAGUACUUUAAGAUGUAAGAAACUGAUAUAUUAACUAUUAAAUAGUUAAUUCACUUAAGGAUGAAAAGUAAAGUAUAAUUAAUAAUUUAUUAUUAAUGAUUAUUAGAUACAGGAAUUAUUUCACCACUACUGGAAUGCAGCCACCUCUAGAGAGAGACUUGACAGCAUUUUAAUAAUGAAUCACAACAAGACACAACAGUUUAGGGUAGGAAG